GAUGAACGCUGGCGGCGUGCCUAAUACAUGCAAGUCGAACGGAGAAUGUAGCAAUACGUUCUUAGUGGCGAACGGGUGAGUAACGCGUUGGUGACCUGCCCCAAAGAGGGGGAUAACAGUUCGAAAGGAUUGCUAAUACCCCAUGUGGUCUUCAGGAUUAGAUGCCUGAUGACUAAAGGAUUUAUUCACUUUGGGAGGGGCCUGCGUCCCAUCAGCUAGUUGGUAGGGUAAUGGCCUACCAAGGCGAUGACGGGUAGGGGACCUGAGAGGGUGGCCCCCCACAAUGGAACUGAAACACGGUCCAGACACCUACGGGUGGCAGCAGUAGGGAAGAUUAGUUAAUGUGCGAAAGCGCGAACUAGCAACGCCGCGUGUGCGAUUACAGCCUUCGGGUUGUAAAGCACUUUUGAAGGGGAUGAGGAAGGACAGUACCCUUCGAAUAAGCCUCGGCUAACUACGUGCCAGCCGCCGCGGUAACAC
rnacentral:rRNA from 1 species